ACGGGAGGCAGCAGUGGGGAAUAUUGCACAAUGGGCGCAAGCCUGAUGCAGCGAUGCCGCGUGAGGGAAGAAGGUUUUCGGAUUGUAAACCUCUGUCAACAGGGACGAAAAUGACGGUACCUGUGAAGGAAGCUCCGGCUAAAUACGUGCCAGCAGCCGCGGUAAUACGUAUGGUGCAAGCGUUAUCCGGAUUUACUGGGUGUAAAGGGAGCGCAGACGGCAUGGCAAGCCAGAUGUGAAAUGCGGGGGCUCAACUCCUGAACUGCAUUUGGAACUGUCAAGCUAGAGUAUCGGAGAGGUAAGUGGAAUUCCUAGUGUAGCGGUGAAAUGCGUAGAUAUUAGGAGGAACACCAGUGGCGAAGGCGGCUUACUGGACGAUAACUGACGUUGAGGCUCGAAAGCGUGGGGAGCAAACAGGAUUAGAUACCCUGGUA
rnacentral:rRNA from 1 species